GAUCCCCAAAGAGAGCGAAUUUUCUGGGGCAAAGGACUCUGUGGGUCUUAUUUCGGUCUGUGACUUCUAGCCCAAUGCCUGGCCCCAAUUACACUGUGGCCUAUGGUGGCCCCUAGCUCUUGCUGUGGGUUUAAUUGUGGGUGGAUGCUCAUAGCUGUGACUUUUCCCAGACUCAUCUGUUUCUUUCCUGGUGAGACUUUGCCCCAAGGGCUGCUGUGAGCCAAGCGUCUUCCGCAGUCUUCCCUCCCUGUGUUUUGAGCUGUUCCCCAGCCUCUCAUGACAGUGCUGCAUUUAUCUCACUGUUAGUCAGUAUUCUGAAUCUGCAAUCAC
rnacentral:lncRNA from 1 species